CAACUACUCCCUCCGUUCGGAAUUACUUGUCGCACAAAUGGAUGUAUCUAGACGUAUUUUAGUUCUAAAUACAUCCAUUUCCGAGACAAGUAAUUCCGAACGGAGGGAGUACUUA
rnacentral:pre_miRNA from 1 species